rnacentral:rRNA from 1 species
CUACGGGACGCUGCAGUGGGGAAUAUUGCACAAUGGACGAAAGUCUGAUGCAGCAACGCCGCGUGGAGGAUGACACAUUUCGGUGCGUAAACUCCUUUUAUAUAGGAAGAUAAUGACGGUACUAUAUGAAUAAGCACCGGCUAACUCCGUGCCAGCAGCCGCGGUAAUACGGAGGGUGCAAGCGUUACUCGGAAUCACUGGGCGUAAAGAGCGUGUAGGCGGGUAGUUAAGUCCGAAGUGAAAUCCAAUAGCUCAACUAUUGAACUGCUUUUGAAACUGAUUACCUAGAAUAUGGGAGAGGUAGAUGGAAUUUCUGGUGUAGGGGUAAAAUCCGUAGAGAUCAGAAGGAAUACCGAUUGCGAAGGCGAUCUACUGGAACAUUAUUGACGCUGAGACGCGAAAGCGUGGGGAGCAAACAGGAUUAGAUACCCCAGUAGUC